rnacentral:rRNA from 1 species
CCUACGGGGGGCAGCAGUGAGGAAUUUUGGUCAAUGGACGCAAGUCUGAACCAGCAAUGCCGCGUGCAGGAUGACGGCUCUAUGAGUGGUAAACUGCUUUUGUACGAGGGUAAACCCCGACACGUGUAUCGGGUUGAAAGUAUCGUACGAAUAAGGAUCGGCUAACUCCGUUCCAGCAGCCGCGGUAAUACGGAGGGUCCGAGCGUUAUCCGGAUUUAUUGGGUUUAAAGGGUGCGUAGGCGGUUUGAUAAGUUAGAGGUGAAAUGUCUGGGCUCAACUCCGAAACUGCCUCUAAUACUGUUGGACUAGAGAACAGUUGCGGUAGGCGGAAUGUAGGGUGUAGCGGUGAAAUGCGUAGAGAUCAUACAGAACACCGAUUGCGAAGGCAGCUUACCAAACUAUAUCUGACGUUGAGGCACGAAAGCGUGGGUAGCAAAUAGGAUUAGAUACCCCUGUAGUC